UUAAAAAUUUUCUUCCUUUGCAGAUAAAGCCCUGUUCAGAGCUGUCAUUCCCUGGGAAGAUCUGUUUCUGUGACUGUUCUGUCUCUGCUAAGUGUAACAGGGCUAACCAUAGAGACACUUGUUCCACAAACUGAGGAAGAUUUCACCAAAUGGUGAACUUAUACGGUUAGUUGGAGUUGCCUGUGCUGUCGUCUGUUAGGGAAUUCAGGGGUGUCCACACUCCGAGGCUUGCCACAGAAUGCACAUCUCCUGAGAUACGCCGUGCUUAUUUCUGAGUGGUAGCUGGUUUCAAGGAACCUUCUUACUUUGCAAGAAACCAAGUAUAUGCAAUUUGAUCUGAAACAUUAGAAAAUGCUGUUUUCUCUCUUUGUAAAGUUCCUGCAAGGAUGUUGCUUCACCUGAAAUAUUUCAAUGAAGAAAAAUAUAGACCUCAUUUUUCUUAAAUCCUUCUUUUUGUUUAAUAAUUUAUGUCCUACUAGAAGCAAAAUCCAGACUUCCUUGAAUAUGUCCUAAUAUAGCUUCAGCAGAAACUGUAUAUUCAUAUUCCUGGGUCCAUUCAUAUUAAAUAGAAAUGAAACUUAACAUGAAAAUCAAUACAACCGUAAGUAUUCCAGGAAGUCCUCGUUAGUGGUUUUAGCAAGUUUUGGCUUUUAGCUACCUGACCAGAACGCUCAGGGGUGUAACACCUUGUGUACGUGCAGGGCAGCUGGCCUUCACAUUGAUCAUAAGCAGUUAUUGCUGUCCAGCUUUAUGUUUUCCACCCAAAGGGAACAAAGACAAUAGGUUUGCUCUGGACUCCGUAAUUAGGCACAUACAAACAACACAUUUAUUCUAAAAUGCCGACUGGAUUAGCAGCUUUUCACACAAGAUCUGCAUACCAACAAAAAAUGCAAUCUUAGAACACUGGUGCCUCCAAUCUGUCACACUGGUUUUGUUAGCAAUUGCUGUUUUGUGCUUCAGAGAGAAAAAUGGAGAACCUUCAUAAGAAACCAAAUGAAUCAUGAUAUUGUAUAUCAGGAAGGCAAAAACGUGCUUUCUAAUCUCUUUUUCCCUCCUACCUCCUGUUGAUAAUUAGCAUUCUGUACUGCAGCAAACAUGGGAAGAAAUUCACACCUCUCACAAACCUCUGGUUUAGGUCAGGAGAAACAAUAUAUUUUUAACACAUUACUUCAGAUCUCAAAGUUUUAAUUAACACACAACAAAAAUAACAAAUGUUAUUGUUUUAACACAUUAGUUGGUAACGAUAACAUUCACGGAACAGGUUAAAACUAUAAUUGACUUGUCUUGUGAUUUAAAGAUGUGUAAGCUAAACAUAAACAUGCCAAACCCCCAUUUUCUGUAGGCUAGACAAAGACUGACAAAAAUUGAUAUUAGUUCUUUAAAGAAACAUAGAUGCCCCAGUUGUAACAAUCAUUUGGACUUACCACUAGAAAAUUACUUCAAAGGCAGUUUUGAAUUUAAUUUGUUGUAGCCUUCGCUUUCCAAAAACCAAGGGGAUGUCUUAUAUCUCAGAAACGUGCAUAUGCCAUCUCUGCAAACAGUCUGGGAAAAGUUUGUUUCCAAGUUAUUUGUACGGACUUCUGCUUUAGGAGAUGAAUUUGCAAAACAUGGAAAUACCGUCCUGCAUCUUUCAGGUCUUCCUGAGGUCAUAACACGCAAAAAAAUCACGAUUCACUUUUAGUUUGCUAAUCAUUUUCAGUUUUCGUAAUUAAUGAAAGAGAAAAAGGAAGUUCAUCCACCUUAAACCUUGUUUAGAGCAGCUGAAGUUACUAUGUUAUUUUGAAAACUUUUAUGACCCUUUGUCACAGGCUAGAAAAACUAGAUUACUUCAUGUGCCAAAUCCAGGAAGUAAAACUCUGGGGAAAAAAAUAUAUAUUGUUACUUUGUCUAUGGUAAGAAUGAGCUAGUGUUUGCAGGAGCGUCCUGCAUAGGAACAAAGCACUGAUUCCUGUUUUUAUAAAAGGAAAGACUUUAUUUAAACUUUGUAGAGUUCUACAGUGACAGCUAACUGUGGUACUGAGUGGUGGUGUUUUGAUGUAUUUCACAAAACAUUACCUCAGAACUUUCCUGAAUCAGUGUCUUUCUGGACUACAGUUUGGUGGGUGGUGUGUUUCAAAAUUUCCACAACACAAAUGAACUGUUACGAAUCCAGUCUAAGUAAAUUUCAACACACGUAGCUGUCAGAGCCACACAAACAAUACCAUAUGUAUAUGAGUACUAUAGUCCUUGCUAGUCACUUGAAUUACUCACUGGAAAGAUUAUGUAAUUUCAGUUCUUUAAUAAAAUAAAAAUAAUGUUGCUUCAUUUAACCCAAAUAUAUUGUUCAACAGUAUAGUAUUCAUGUAAUAAAAUAUACCACAGCUGUUAAUUAGUUUGGAUAGCUAAUACGUUGUUAUAUUCAAAGUGUUACUUCACAAGUAAUUUAAAAGUCCAAUGAAAUAAUUCAUUCUUUGUAUGCUAAACACAGGGAAGAGUACUCACAGCAUCUGACUGGAAGUAUCAUAUUCAGGCUCCUUGGUAAGAAUGAAAAUAUGCUCUUGACUAAGGAUUGCCCAGUUUUGAUACUUCCAUUUUGUCACCUAGAUCAAGUAUGUUGAAAAAUAGCACCAUGUGCAAUUUGUGUUCACCUGUAACUGACCUUUCCCUUCUCCUUCCCAGUGUUCUGUGUAUACUAUGUGACUAGAGGAAUCCUGCAGGAGAAUUGGCAGGAGCUCGUUGUCUUUGGUCUUAUCUUCUUGCUAGUGAUGUUUCAAUCCAUCAUCAACUUCACAGUUUUCUCUGCUGAGCAAAAGCCAAAACUCCUGGUUAGUCUCCUGACUUUAACUAACUUUGCUUUUGUCCAAAUCUUGGAUGUGAAAAUCUUAGAAAAACAUCUCUGAUAUGGGCAUUGAUAACAGAAAAAUCAGGCAGAAUUAUUCCUAUCAUCAAAUAACAAAACGUGCAUCUUCACAAUGACAAAUGUGAUCCUGUGAUUCUGUGGGUUUCUCUGUGACACUAUCUGAAAGUAACAUAAAUAUAAUUUUACUCACAUAGGAUUACUACAGAAUUACUAUUACUACCUUCACUUUACCUACUCUACAUCAAAUUUCCAUACGUAAAAUAACUGUCCCAAAGUCACAUAAAUCUAACCUAUGAAUGGAAUCGGAAUCUCAAGUCUGGAUGCAAUGACACAGCUGUUAGCCACUCUCAUAAUAUCCAUAAGUGCAGCAUUGUGUUUUUAAGAGAGUUGUGAUACCCUGCUGCAAGGAAACAAAAGGAUAUGGUGUGCUAAGGGAGGUAUUGCCAUUUCAGAUUAUCUUGUUUGUAUUUCACAACAAUAAAAUGUAACACAAAGACUGUAUUCUGUGUGUUACUAAGCUUUGUAGUUGAACUUCCCCUUUCCGUGCUUCUUAGGAGUCUUUCUCUUUUAUGGUAGCAUACUUAUCACAAAUGUGAGAAGGAGGUUCCUUGUUCCUUGAAGUCAUCCAAACAUUAUUUUCAGAGAGAAGAGAUGCCAGCCAAGCUAGGAAAAUUACAGUAAAGCAGAAUUUGCCUAUUCAACUUAUGUAUUAAUGGUACAUUUAGUUAAAUAUCUACAGCAAACUGGGUCAAUAAGGAACAGGCAUCAGAGAUGCAGAUUACUUUGAUGUAUGUAUCCCAGCCUUCUGUUUAAAUAUUAAACAAGAAAAAACAAACAAGUUAAACCUGGUCUAGAAGAUGCAGUAUUAAGGAGGGUUUUACCACUAUAAAAGUCACUUCAAUUACUGUAACUCCUGCUUCCUGAGCAAAAUUUCUGAGCUGCAGUAAUGCUUACUGGUGUAAACAGUUUCAUAUCAAUGCAGUUAUGAAGAACAUUUUGCCACUUCAACUGUCUGUAAAAAGCAGACAUUCAGUGUGAAUGACAAGAAAACCGUGGAUAAAACCCAUCCCAAACCAAUGUUUUUAGAAAUUUAGUAAGUACAGCAUUCAGAAUAACCCACUGUCCCCAUUGACGUCAGUGGGGAAGAUUCUUACCAGGUGGUUUAUGCCAUAGAGGAAUCUUAGAGCCAGACAGGAAGGAUGUCUGUCAUUUUUUGAGGAAUAAUUUUAUCCUUCAGAGCUCUGCCCAAGUUACAGUCAGUGGGAGUUUGUGUCAAGUAUUUUGGUGGGCUGUAUGGUCUCACACUAAUAAUUUUAGCAAAUCUUUGCCUCUUCUCUUAACAUAGGCGUGAGUUUCUCCCCUGAGCAUAAAGGUUGAGAACACCUCACGCUAUCAUUACUCCUUUUUGAGGGACAUUGUUUUAUUCUCAAUCCUUGACUACCUACAUUCAUGAAACAUACAGGAUCACAAUAUUUUUAGUACUUCUAUCUCUCUGACAAAGUCAGGUGAAAUUGGCAACAGCCCUCCAAAUUAUUGUGAAGAUGGAUAUACAGACACAGUGAGAUUACACCGGCCUUAUAUCCUUCGGAAAUCACACCAAAAAGAUGAGUGGUCCUUUAUCGGGGCAGCUUUAAAGGUGAGUGAUAGUUUUCAUGUUAAUAUAAGGAUUUGUGGACUUGUGCUUCUUGUUAGUCAGACUGAACUCCCUCUGAAAUCUCGAGAACUAAGAAGGACUGCAGAAUCAAUGCCAAAGCACAUCAGAUAAGAGUCUGGUGUUACCAGGAAAAAGCUAGGGGGAUUUUUAUUAUUAUUACUAUUAUUACUUUUAUUUUAAGGUUCAUUGGUUGUUUGCUUUAGCCAAAUUUCUGACAGCUGAAAUACAGCUUUCCGAACAUUUGUUUGCUUUCCAUGCUAAAAAUGGAGCCAGCACCAAGUACUGGACUUUCAACACUAAAAUAAGUUCAGGUGAAAAGUUGCAGAUUCAUCUUUUUCCUGGACUUUGGAGUCUUGUAGCCACUAGCAUUGAUCCUGUAGGGAGAAAAGGAGACAGGACAAAGUGUGGACGCUCAGCCAUGCAGAUAGGGAUCUUAUGGCUUAGUUUCCUUGUAGGAGCUCCUCACAUACUUUUUCAAGGCACUGGAUCUUUGUUUUCAGUUAAAUUGUUUCAGGUGUGGAAAGAAGGGAGCGCUCAGAACUUUCUGUCUGCCAAUGAGGAUUAAACAUACAAACCUUCCACUAUUUCCCCCCACCAUCAGAAACCAAGUUGAUCUGACGAACUCUCUUUCACAGAUCUGAGUUCUUUGCUUGUUCUUGACUUUUCCAUAGGCAUUAAAAGAGGCAGUGUUUCUUUUAGGUAAAGAAAGUGGCACUUCAGUUAGAUGGCCUCAUGUCGUAAUACACCUGAUAUUCCUCAUGCUUUCAGCAAUAGCAAACAUGUUUCUUAACAGUUCAACUAGUAAUAGCAAAUGUCCUGGGGUAAGUACAUAUUAUUGCUGUUUGUUCAAGACUGUCUGCAUCAGAAGUACUUGAAAGCUACUUUUUAUCCAGUCAAAGUACGCUAACUUUACCUACAUGGACUACAACAUGUAUCAGUCUUCUCAGAAACUGCACCUGCCAUUAAAGUGUUGCAUAAUAAAGGUAUGUAGACAUACAAAAUCCACCAGAAUAUAUAGCAUAAAAGGAAAUAAGUGUAACAGAAGGGAAAGCUUGGGAGCCCCCAUACACAGUCUUUUCCCAUAGCUGCAGCACCUGGAAGCACAGCUUCACCUCAAGGUCCCUCAUUUCUGGGUUGAAGCCAUAUGCCAUUUCACAGAGCCACUUCACAUGUCAUUCACUAUUUUUCUUUCAUUCUUGUAUAUGCCUUCCCAUUUCCUUCAGUGGAUUUAUUUUUCCUAUCUGCAUUAUUUAUUUUAGGAUUCAUAGUAUUUUCUGUCUUUUCUCCUGUGAACUUCUAAUUCUCCCUUUCACCCCUCCUCUUGUUUCCUAGGCUCCCUAUACUCCAUUAUUUCUCGGCCUGUGUUCUCCUUCUGGUCUUAUCCUAAGAGGAGCACUAAGCAAUAUUGCAGAAAACAGAGACAGUAGUACAGGUGGCAGAGAAAAGACAAGCUCCCUUAGGGGAAGGACAGUUCUCUCAAUGCUUUUGUAGAGGUUCAUAUACUGACCACUGCAGAAGGAUCAGUCUUGGUUCUGGGGGAAUCUGCGCUCAAUCAGAUGCAUCAAAUCUUAUCGUAGUAUUGGCCCAGUCAUUUCUUUCAUUCAUAGUGACUCAGCUGUUUUUCUUUGGUUUGCUCAGACCUGCCCUUCCAGUUAAGGAUUGCUGAAAGUCACUGCCUGCUGAAAACCAGUCCAUCAUUUCUUCUUUCCCAAGCCCUGAGGUUCAGUGUGAAACAGUUUUUCUGAUAGUUGUUUCUCCUACGUUUUAGUUCUCAUUGACUUUACUUCCCUGUAGAAGAAAGAAAGCUGGAGGAAGAAGUCACAGAGCAUGUUUAAUCUGUAAGCUAUGAAAACAUUAAUUUACUAGAGAAAAAAUUGAGUGUACCCAAAGAGAAAGUAUAUCAGCUUAGAUGCAACUGUUCUAGAAGAGAGCUGUUUCUCCAUUUAAGCUAGCUGGGAGUUGUACUAGAAGCAUUAGAAGGCAGGGCUCAAAAGGAUGCCCAGAUAGCUCAAACCACACACAGCUAUCAUGAUGUGCCCAUAAAACAACCAGUUCUGAUUUCACCACCAUCACUCCUGGCCCAGCUUAGUGGAAAACACUAAGACUAGAGGCCUCCACCUUGCUACUGGAUCCUUAGGCCCAAAACACGGAGCCUUGUUCCUGAGCAUACACCUUCAGUGCAGCUCCUUUUAGAAUCAAUGAGAGCAGCAGGCACAUCCUACAUCUUUUGGGAUCAACUUCCCACACAAGAACUAUGUCAAAUUGCUCUUGAACUGAUUAGUUAGAGGGAACUUUCUGCAGCUGGCACAGUAUCCAGAAUGAGGAGGAAAAGAUAAAACAAAAUCUUCCAGCGCAAGGUAUUUAUGCCUCCUCUCCUUCCCAAGAAAUCUCCAAGUGGUACCAGGCUUUUUGACCAGCUGGAGGGUCUUAAGUCAUAUUUUAAACAAUUUUCCUAGGCAGCACUCCCAGCUGUUGAUCUUGAUGCAGGCAAAACAAGAGAGUGUGCAAGCCCAAAAAGCCCCAUGUUUAGCAUUUUUUAGCACUGUAAUAGUGAUAAAGCAUUUAUCACUGGGGCACCCAAGCAGCUCCCACAACACAUGUGAAAGGAGAUGAGGAAGAAGGGCAAAGAUUAUUCAUCAUGGGAAGGGCCCAACUGCUGAUAGCAGCCAGUGUUUCUCAUACUUGACAUAAAUAGUCUCUGAAACUGAUAAAAGUUCAGUGGCUACAGUCAUCCAAGUCCUUGUGGUUUUAUUUACGAAAUUAUGCAGCCAAAUCAGGCUCUUCCAAUUGUUCGCAGGUCUCUUUGAUUUGGCAAAUCACAAAAGGACCACACUGACUUUGGUGGCUAUACUUUACUUGUAUUGCAGUUAGGAAGAAAAAUACAGGCAGGAGCAAUGUAGCAACUUGAAAAUAGCUAAAUCUCCUUAUGCUUUUGCACAGCAAUAAAGAAAAUAUAGGAGUGCCUGGCAAACGAGGGCAUUGGCAUGCAAGGCAGUACUCCUCUCUACCAGAGAAAUCUAAUAAAGUCAUUUCUCCAAAGCAAUCCUUUUUAGCACCUUUUAUCUGACUACCUAAAAGAUAAAAAAAAAACAAAAACAAAAACUGCACUUACCAUUAAUCACUUCAGUUCUAAAAAAAUGGUAGAUUAAGUCUAUGUAGCAGCUGCUUAACAGCCCUCUGUAGUACAAACAGGAAAACUGAUAGAACCGUACAGACAAAUAAGUGUUGUUUAUAAUUAUUAUAAUUAUUUUUUUUCAACCUGAACACUGAUUUCUUUAAUGAUGCAGAGAUCAGAAAGUAUAAUGCAAUUUUGCUGGAGUUGGUAUGCAGCCAGGGAAUCAUGUAAGCAGGAAAGAAACUUUAAAAGUGACCCAUUUUUUUCCUCUCAGUUACUAUCAUGUGGCUUCAUCCAGAAAUUGAGUGAUUGAUUGCUUUUUAUGGCUUCCAGGUUUUGGGGCACUAGGUGUUGAUUGUCAUGUGUCUCCAUUUCCCCACAGGUGAUAAAAGAGUGGGGCAAAGGGAAUUCUUAUGCUGGAAGCUGCUUUCGUCAUUGGCUCUUGCAUUUCUGUUGCAAGAAAAUCUGUUUUGUUUUGGGUGUUGAUUCACGUCUACUGCAGCUCUGGGCAGGGGCUGAGAGAAAGAAGUAAGUACUCAAGAAAGUUAACUAAGAAGGUUGUAGCCUAUUGUUUCAUGAUCACAAUUAAGUAGAGAGCUUGCCAAGCCAUGAAAACAGCUAGGAAUGAUCACAAUAAAAGGCAGAUGCCUAAUGACAUCAAGCAGUACUGCAGUCUUGGAAUUUACUGGCCUGAGAAUGUUCAACAGCUUGGUUGGAACAUGUGUGAGAUCUUCCUGAAGAAAACUGGUAUGUCAAACCCAUACAGGAAUUGCUGCUGUCCAGAAAAAGAGACCUGUGUAGGAAGUCUCCUCUACAAAAAAUAGAUGUAAUUCUUCUUUAUCAUUCUGUAAAAAUAUCUAAUGUCUAGUAAAUAAGAGACAGAAUAAAUAGACCUAGAGAGCCACUGAUCUUAAACUACCCAAACCUUUUAAAAGGAGGAUGCACAGUGACAGGCAUUGGUGCUGGCUGAUCUGACUCUUCCUUUCUUCCCACAGUGUUUUCUUCCUAUGGAAGGAUUGACUCCUGAACAUCCCCUUUGUAUUCCAACUGCAGCUCUUACAGAGUGAAAUCAUAGCUGGGAAAGGUCUGAUCAAGUACUUGCACUCAGAAUAUAAGAUAAUGGGUCAGCUUCACAGCGGUAGAAGAAGUUGCUCAGAAAAGUGUCUUUAUCUUUCUUAGUUUUGUGCUAGGGAACUAGAGCAGAACAGCUGGUAACAGUUUAUAAAACAAAGUGUGCUCAGGAAAUCAAGAGUAAUCCUCUCAUUCAGGGGGUUUUGCUGACAGGACAAUGCAGCUUUCACUCCUUUUCCUGAUUUUGCUUUGGAACUGCAGAAGGUUCAUGACAUGCAUGUGAGAGGGGCACAUGGUUAAUAUAAAUGCUGGCGUUAUUGAUACACCAGCAUAACAAAGACAAUUUGCUCGUCAGUCUUUUCUUACUGAGGCUAGAAGUGGAUUGCCCUGCCUUCAUUCUCAUUGGUGGCGUUGACUGGAGGUCCCAAGAGCUCUGUAGUACCUGCUUUCUCACACUACCCUGGGUAGGAGUGGAAUUGCAAUUUACAUAUACUGUAAACAUUGCCAUCACAUUGCUCUUCAGCUACAUCUUUAAGUGACAGGUACCCACAUACUGUAAAAUGUAGUCAAAACAGUUUGUUGUAGCUUAGUAGGGAAAUUUACAGAGAAGAUCUCAAGACUUGUAUUUUUCUCACCCUAAUCUUCUCAACCUGAAACAAAUAUAUUUUAUAGAUAACAUGGAGGCAUGAAGAGGUUAAAUGUCUAUGGUCAGGCCGCAUAAAGCUGACAGUAUCAAGAGAAAGCACGAGAGUACCAGCUGAUGACUGUGACUUUAUUUCACAAGUCAAAAUGUGACUAUGUAUUGUUGUUGAAAUGGAGGAAAACAAUUAAGCAUAUUCAACGCUUUUCUUAAAUAAGCAAACAUGCUGCAGGUCUUGCCUAGAACAGAAACAAUAAGGGAAGACUUCUAUCUGGAGGAAGCCUAUACUUGGCCAAAAUUAUCUGAAGAAAGCAGGCUUGUACUAUGCUCCUUUUGUCUUCAUAGCUAGGGAUGGCAGAAAUAAUUGUAUCAUUAGAAGGGGAAAAAAAGAUGUUAUCACAUUCAAACAUUUAUCUCCCCAAAAACAGCACUGUAUUAUCAUGCCUUGGGGAAUUAAGCUUCAUACUUUCACAGAAAAAUGUUCUUAUUUCUGACAAAGGUCUUGUUAAGUUCCUCUGGAAAUCCGUGUGUUCUUUUUUCACAAGGUCUUUAAAAAUACUGAAGUAGUACUACACUUAGCUAGCAUGCUAAUCAGCAAGUUCUAAGUAGAUACACACUGCACUGCCAAGAGUGCAUUUGUUUUUUUGUUUUUUUGUUUUUUUCAAAUAAGUCCACAUAAGUAUCAGAAGAGGACAAGUUCUCUUACAUCCCAGUUUCGUCAGUGAAGUUAAUGCUCGUGUAAGUACUUUCCUCAACUGCAAAAGACCAGGGUGCUGGGAGGUGGAGAGUACUUUCCACUGAUUAAACAAACCCUGGUGUUGCAGCCCUUUGCUGGCUCAUGUGAACAGUAAGAAGCACUCAUUUUGGCCAAUUCAGGACUAGCAGACUGCAUAUAAAUCAUCUCAAAAGAAUCAUUUUACUUGUAAAAGUGAGGGUCCAGUCUUUGGCAUCACUGUUUCCCUGCUUCUUGCAUAGGCCAUCAAGUGCCAUUGUCACAGACAUGCUGGCUUAUCAUUUUGGCUAUGGACAGCAAGAGUUUUUAGCUAGGCAGGCAAGAGAAGAUGGAAAACUCUUUUUAAAGCACCUGAAGAAGCAAAUGAACUCCAUUUAAGAGCAGCUAUAUUUCCACUUUUGUACCUUAAAAAAAAUGGUUAAUGUAGCCCAGCUAGCUGAAGGGAAGAUUUGUUUCAACUUGCACAUUAAAUCCAGAAGCUUUUAUUUUGAAACUUUUGAGAAAAGACUUGUAUCAGACAUACACAAUCACAAUAGCCUUACAUAUAUUUCUAAAAAACAGAAACUACCAUCUAGAAACUACCAUGAGAUAAUGCAUCAGAAACCCACACUGGAUAUUCAUCUUCCAAGUAAGCAAUUGUGUAUACCUAAUUGUAUAGUCUCAGUCAAAUGCUGCUAAACAAAUCCAACUUUACAAAAAAGAUUUUAUUGAAAGGAUUGAAAAAUAUUUGAUUUCAACAAUAUUUAAAACAAGUUUUCAAAGCAUUAACAAUAUGUAACAAGAUUUUUCCUCUUUCAAAAAUUCAGUACACUCUGCUUUAUACCAUACCCCACCAGUUUUCAAUAACUUGAACUCUCUAGUAGAGACUUUUUUUUUUUAACCAAUUUCCAAGCUUCCAUUUUGGCCCUAUGUAGACUGGAAAAUGUUUA